UUAGAGGUUGUGGUCUUGAACCGUGGCUUCUGGAGCUAACGCGUUAAAUCGACCGCCUGGGGAGUACGGCCGCAAGGUUAAAACUCAAAUGAAUUGACGGGGGCCCGCACAAGCGGUGGAGCAUGUGGUUUAAUUCGAUGCAACGCGAAGAACCUUACCUACUCUUGACAUCCAGCGAAUCCUUUAGAGAUAGAGGAGUGCCUUCGGGAACGCUGAGACAGGUGCUGCAUGGCUGUCGUCAGCUCGUGUUGUGAAAUGUUGGGUUAAGUCCCGCAACGAGCGCAACCCUUAUCCUUUGUUGCCAGCACGUAAUGGUGGGAACUCAAAGGAGACUGCCGGUGAUAAACCGGAGGAAGGUGGGGAUGACGUCAAGUCAUCAUGGCCCUUACGAGUAGGGCUACACACGUGCUACAAUGGCAGAUACAAAGAGAAGCGACCUCGCGAGAGCAAGCGGAACUCAUAAAGUCUGUCGUAGUCCGGAUUGGAGUCUGCAACUCGACUCCAUGAAGUCGGAAUCGCUAGUAAUCGUAGAUCAGAAUGCUACGGUGAAUACGUUCCCGGGCCUUGUACACACCGCCCGUCACACCAUGGGAGUGGGUUGCAAAAGAAGUAGGUAGCUUAACCUUCGGGAGGGCGCUACCACUUUGGAUGCUUCCACC
rnacentral:rRNA from 1 species